UCGGAUAUGGUGUAACGGCCAACAUUGCCGCCUCUCAUUCAAGUGCGCGGCAGCUCGGGGUUCGAUUCCCCGUAUCCGAA
rnacentral:tRNA from 1 species